rnacentral:rRNA from 1 species
UACGUAGGGUGCGAGCGUUAAUCGGAUUUACUGGGCGUAAAGCGUGCGCAGGCGGUCCGUUAAGACUGAUGUGAAAUCCCUGGGCUCAACCUAGGAAUUGCGCUUGAGACUGGCGGGCUCGAGUGCGGUAGAGGGGGGUGGAAUUCCUGGUGUAGCAGUGAAAUGCGUAGAGAUCAGGAGGAACACCGAUGGCGAAGGCAGCCCCCUGGGCCUGUACUGACGCUGAUGCACGAAAGCGUGGGGAGCAAACAGG